rnacentral:rRNA from 1 species
CCUACGGGGGACAGCAGUGAGGAAUAUUGGUCAAUGGACGAGAGUCUGAACCAGCCAAGUAGCGUGAAGGAUGACUGCCCUAUGGGUUGUAAACUUCUUUUAUAUGGGAAUAAACUGUUCCACGUGUGGGAUUUUGUAUGUACCAUAUGAAUAAGGAUCGGCUAACUCCGUGCCAGCAGCCGCGGUAAUACGGAGGAUCCGAGCGUUAUCCGGAUUUAUUGGGUUUAAAGGGAGCGUAGGUGGAUUGUUAAGUCAGUUGUGAAAGUUUGCGGCUCAACCGUAAAAUUGCAGUUGAAACUGGCAGUCUUGAGUACAGUAGAGGUGGGCGGAAUUCGUGGUGUAGCGGUGAAAUGCUUAGAUAUCACGAAGAACUCCGAUUGCGAAGGCAGUUCACUGGACUGCAACUGACACUGAGGCUCGAAAGUGUGGGUAUCAAACAGGAUUAGAUACCCCGGUAGUC